rnacentral:rRNA from 1 species
GACGAACGCUGGCGGCGUGCCUAAUACAUGCAAGUCGAACGCAGUGGGGACGGGUGAUUAACACGUGGGUAACCUCCCAUCAGAGGGGAUAACACUUGGAAACAGGUGCUAAACCGAUACUGAUGGAUGGACCCGCGGUGCAUUAGCGAGUGGGGGGGGUAACGGCCCACCAAGGCCACGAUGCAUAGCCGGCCUGAGCGGGUGAGCGGCCACACUGGAACUGAGACACGGCCCAGACUCCUACGGGAGGAAGCAGUGGGGAAUCUUCGGCAAUGGACGAAAGCCUGACCGAGCAACGCCGCGUGGGUGAAGAAGGUUUUCGGAUCGUAAAACUCUGUUGUUAGAGAAGCGGUAUCUAACCAGAAAGCCACGGCUAACUACGUGCCAGCAGCCGCGGUAAUUC